AUUGAACGCUGGCGGCAGGCCUAACACAUGCAAGUCGAACGAGUGGCGGACGGGUGAGAAAUGUCUGGGAAACUGCCUGAUGGAGGGGGAUAACUACUGGAAACGGUAGCUAAUACCGCAUACCAUCGGAUGUACCCAGAUGGGAUUAGCUAGUAGGUGGGGUAAAGGCUCACCUAGGCGACGAUCCCUAGCUGGCCUGAGAGGAUGAACAGCCACACGGGAACUGAGACACGGUCCAGACUCCUACGGGAGGCAGCAGUGGGGAAUAUUGCACAAUGGGCGCAAGCCUGAUACAGCCAUGCCGCGUGUAUGAAGAAGGCCUUCGGGUUGUAAAGUACUUUCAGCGGGGAGGCGUUACCCGCAGAAGAAGCACCGGCUAACUCCGUGCCAGCAGCCGCGGUAAUUC
rnacentral:rRNA from 1 species